rnacentral:rRNA from 1 species
AGAACGAACGCUGGCGGCACGCCUAACACAUGCAAGUCGAGCGCGCCCUUCAGGGUGAGCAGCGGACGGGUUAGUAACGCGUGGGAACGUACCCUUCUCUACGGAAUAGCCAUUGGAAACGAUGAGUAAUACCGUAUACGCCCUUUGGGGGAAAGAUUUAUCGGAGAAAGAUCGGCCCGCGUUAGAUUAGCUAGUUGGUGGGGUAAAGGCUCACCAAGGCGACGAUCCGUAGCUGGUUUGAGAGGACGACCAGCCACACUGGGACUGAGACACGGCCCAGACUCC